CCUACGGGAGGCUGCAGUAGGGAAUAUUGCUCAAUGGGGGAAACCCUGAAGCAGCAACGCCGCGUGGAGGAUGAAGGUUUUCGGAUUGUAAACUCCUUUUGUUAGAGAAGAUAAUGACGGUAUCUAACGAAUAAGCACCGGCUAAAUCCGUGCCAGCAGCCGCGGUAAUACGUGGGGGGCAAGCGUUAUCCGGAUUGACUGGGGGUAAAGGGGGCGUAGGUGGCGAGGUAGACCAGAGGUGAAAACCCGGGGCUAACCCCGGCGGAUUGCUUUUGGAACGGCCAGGCGGGAGGGCGGGAGGGGAAGGGGGAAGGCCAGGGGUAGCGGUGAAAUGCAGAGAUAUUGGGAGGAACACCGGUGGCGAAGGCGGCAUAAGGGCCAACAACUGACGCUGAGGCACGAAAGCGUGGGGAGCAAACAGGAUUAGAUACCCCGGUAGUC
rnacentral:rRNA from 1 species